GCGCGGCCGUGGGGAGGGCGGGGCUUGCGCGCGUCUCGCGCCGGGGGGCGCGGGAGGGCGCGGGAGGGCGAGCGGCGGAACUCGCGCGCGCGCGCGCAGCGGGAGGCGGAGAGCCGCGCACGCGGAGCCGAGCCGACCCGGCCCGGCCCGGCCCGGCCGCCCCUCAGCGCCGCCGCGCCCUGCCCCGCGGCCUGACAGGCAGAUAUGGUUCUGAACAUCGUGAGCACGUGACUUCAAAGAUGGACAACUGGAUCUUUUAUAAGUUGUGAUUGGCCUUAAGCUGACUUAUAACUGUUGAACAACUUAACAGGAUUUCUCUCAUUCCUGAUUUAUGCCUAUAUAAUUGCCUCACACCACCAGCUUAAUCAUGUAUGGAAGUGCUCGGUCAGUUGGUAAGGUUGAGCCAAGCAACCAGAGUCCAGGGCGUUCACCAAGGCUGCCACGGUCACCACGCUUGGGCCAUCGUCGAACCAACAGCACAGGAGGCAGUUCUGGGAGUAGUACUGGGGGUGGCAGUGGGAAAACCCUUUCUAUGGAAAAUAUUCAGUCCUUAAAUGCUGCCUAUGCUACAUCCGGCCCUAUGUACCUAAGUGACCAUGAGAACGUGGGUGCAGACACCCCAAAAAGCACCAUGACUUUGGGCCGAUCUGGGGGGCGGCUGCCUUACGGAGUUAGGAUGACUGCAAUGGGUAGCAGCCCUAACAUUGCCAGUAGCGGAGUUGCCAGUGAUACUAUUGCAUUUGGAGAGCACCAUCUCCCUCCAGUGAGUAUGGCAUCCACUGUGCCUCACUCACUGCGCCAGGCCAGGGAUAACACAAUAAUGGAUCUGCAGACACAACUCAAAGAAGUAUUAAGGGAAAAUGAUCUGCUUCGCAAGGAUGUGGAGGUGAAAGAAAGCAAGCUGAGUUCUUCCAUGAACAGUAUCAAGACCUUCUGGAGUCCUGAGCUAAAAAAGGAGAGAGCUCUGAGGAAAGAUGAAGCUUCAAAAAUCACCAUUUGGAAGGAGCAAUAUAGAGUUUUACAAGAGGAAAACCAGCACAUGCAGAUGACUAUCCAGGCUCUCCAAGAUGAGCUUCGGAUCCAGCGGGACCUGAACCAGCUGUUCCAGCAGGACAGCAGCACUAGAACCAGUGAGCCCUUUGUGGCAGAACUGACAGAGGAAAACUUCCAACGACUUCAUGCAGAGCACGAACGCCAGGCCAAGGAACUCUUCCUGCUACGUAAAACCUUAGAAGAGAUGGAACUGCGUAUUGAGACACAGAAACAGACCUUAAAUGCACGUGAUGAGUCCAUCAAAAAGCUGCUGGAGAUGCUGCAGAGUAAAGGUCUGUCAGCAAAAGCCACUGAGGAAGAUCAUGAGCGAACAAGGCGGUUGGCUGAGGCAGAGAUGCACGUGCACCACUUGGAGAGCCUUCUCGAGCAGAAGGAAAAAGAAAACAACAUGCUGAGAGAGGAGAUCCAUCGUCGAUUUGAAAAUGCUCCUGACACAGCCAAGACAAAGGCUCUGCAAACUGUUAUUGAGAUGAAGGAUUCAAAAAUUUCUUCCAUGGAGCGUGGCCUCCGGGAUUUGGAAGAGGAGAUUCAGAUGUUGAAGUCAAAUGGAGCUCUGAGCACAGAAGAACGUGAAGAGGAAAUGAAGCAAAUGGAGGUGUACCGUAGUCAUUCCAAAUUCAUGAAAAAUAAGGUAGAGCAACUGAAGGAAGAGCUAAGUGCCAAAGAGGCUCAAGGGGAGGACCUGAAAAAAAGAGUGGCUGGUCUCCAAGCCGAGAUUGGUCAGGUGAAACAGGAGCUGUCACGCAAAGACACUGAGUUGCUGGCCUUGCAGACAAAGCUGGAGACCCUCACAAAUCAGUUCUCUGACAGCAAGCAGCAUAUUGAAGUUCUGAAAGAGUCCCUUACAGCUAAAGAGCAAAGAGCUGCCAUCCUGCAGACAGAGGUGGAUGCAUUGCGAUUACGACUGGAGGAGAAGGAGACUAUGCUAAACAAGAAGACAAAGCAGAUACAGGAGAUGGCAGAGGAGAAGGGGACUCAAGCAGGAGAGAUCCAUGACCUCAAGGACAUGUUAGAGGUGAAGGAACGCAAAGUUAAUGUUCUUCAGAAGAAGAUUGAAAAUCUACAAGAGCAGUUAAGAGAUAAGGAGAAGCAAAUGAGCAGCUUAAAGGAUCGGGUGAAAUCCUUGCAGGCUGACACCACUAAUACCGACACUGCCUUGACCACGCUGGAAGAAGCACUUGCAGAAAAAGAAAGGACCAUUGAGCGCCUAAAGGAGCAACGUGACAGAGAUGAACGAGAAAAACAGGAAGAAAUCGACAACUACAAAAAAGACAUUAAGGAGCUGAAAGAGAAAGUCAGCAUUUUACAAGGAGAUCUCACAGAGAAAGAGUCAUCCUUACUGGAUCUGAAGGAACAUGCUUCAUCCUUAGCUUCAUCAGGACUGAAGAAAGAUUCCAGACUCAAGACACUAGAAAUUGCAUUGGAACAGAAAAAAGAAGAAUGUUUGAAGAUGGAAACUCAAUUGAAGAAGGCUCACGAGGCAACACUGGAGGCUAGGGCCAGCCCAGAGCUGAGUGAUCAUAUGCAGCAGCUGGAAAGGGAGGUAACACGAUAUCGGGAAGAAUCUAGCAAGGCUCAAGCUGAAGUGGAUCGUCUUCUGGAAAUCUUGAAAGAGAUGGAAAAUGAGAAGAAUGAUAAGGAUAAGAAGAUAGCAGAACUAGAGAGCCUCACCUCAAGGCAAGUUAAAGAUCAAAAUAAGAAAGUAGCAAAUCUGAAGCACAAAGAACAAGUGGAGAAAAAGAAGAGUGCACAGAUGCUGGAGGAGGCAAGGAGACGAGAGGAUAAUCUUAAUGACAGCUCCCAACAGCUUCAGGACAAUCUACGUAAAAAGGAUGAUCGGAUUGAAGAAUUGGAAGAGGCACUCAGAGAAAGUGUUCAGAUAACUGCAGAGCGGGAAAUGGUGCUAGCACAAGAGGAGUCAGCCAGGAUGAAUGCUGAGAAACAGGUAGAAGAGCUGAUGAUGGCCAUGGAGAAGGUUAAGCAGGAGCUGGAGUCUAUGAAAGCAAAAUUGUCCUCUACACAACAGUCUUUGGCUGAGAAGGAAACCCACUUGACCAACCUACGAGCUGAAAGAAGAAAACAUUUGGAGGAAGUGCUGGAAAUGAAACAAGAAGCCCUCCUUGCUGCCAUUAGUGAAAAAGAUGCCAAUAUUGCUCUGCUAGAACUCUCAUCCUCUAAGAAGAAGACCCAAGAUGAAGUGGCUGCACUGAAACGAGAGAAGGACCGUCUUGUGCAACAGCUCAAGCAGCAGACUCAGAACCGUAUGAAGCUGAUGGCUGACAACUAUGAGGAUGACCACCUCAAAUCCUCAUCCCAUUCCAACCAAACCAACCAUAAGCCCUCCCCUGACCAGGAUGAGGAGGAGGGUAUUUGGGCAUAACCAGUCAGAUGCUCUUAGUUCAGCCAUUUUGUUCAGAACGAUAAUUCAGCCCCUCUUAGAACUUGAUCAGAAUCGCAGCAAGUUGAAGUUGUACAUUGGACAUCUGACAGCCCUCUGCCAUGACCGUGACCCCCUGAUUCUACGUGGACUCACCCCACCUGCUUCCUACCACCUGGAUGAUGACCGGGCAGCUUGGGAGAAAGAGCUGCAAAAGAUGACCCAGGAGCAGCUUCAUGAUGAAUUAGAAAAGGGCGAGAAGGAAAGCGCAGAGCUGCAGGAGUUUGCCAACGCCAUCUUACAGCAGAUAGCAGAUCACUGCCCUGACAUCCUGGAGCAAGUUGUCAAUGCACUUGAGGAGUCAUCAUGACCUCGGCCACUAGCCCCACUGGAGCAGCACACCGGUGGCCAAGCCCAGUCAGUCCAAGGAGCCAUGAGAGUGGAGAGGAAUGUGAAAGACAGACAAUGGAAUAGAAACUUCUGGUGCACCUUUUACAAAGAAAACAAAAGAAAAAAAACCCAACCAACUCUCUAAAAACUACAUGCUUUCUAGGUUUUUCCAGUCUAUGAUUAAUCAGUCAUGUUUGCAUUCAUCUUCUCACUGCCUUUCUACUUUAGAAUCCAAUUCCCCGUUGACUUUGUUGAUGGUGACUUUUGGAUACAGCUAAGCAGAGCUCUUCCAAGUCUACUGAGCAAAGAAGAGAGGAUCCACUGAACACAAGCAGCUCUAGUUCUCCAUGAGGUUUCAGAAGGGUAGUCCUUGCCUUUCAUUCAUUUAUUGCUUCUUUCUCUCUCUCUUUCUUUCUCUCCUUCUUUCUUUUUUUUUUUUUUUCCAUAAAAGCUGAAAGCCUGAAUUUCAGAGUGCUAAAAUCAAACCUGAGUGUGCUCUGAUUAUGGCUUGUGACUGGCCAGCAUCAGCUAGCUAGCUCAGGUCUUGCUGCCUGUCUCAGUGUUUCUAUAUUCUUAAAUAAGAGAGAGGAAAGGAAAGUUUCACUAUUUGUUCCUGUUAGUCACUUCAUCUAGCAGCUGGAAAACAAGGUAGGCAUACUGGUACUUUCUGUUAACUUUGAUUUUUACUGUUUGCUGAUCUGACUCUGAAGUGCUGGGUGGAGCAUUUUUUCAGGUAGAUGUUUUCAUCUGUUGAUUUCUUGGGGUUUCUAGCUGAGGCUUCUCAUCAUAGGUCUGUGUCUCCUAAGUUCUUAUUUUAUAGAGUGCUCUCUCCCUUUGGGCAGGUGUGGUCAACAGGUCAGCUCCCAGAUUUAACUUGUAUAAUUUGUCCAUUGCCAAUUUUUCAGGCCAUAGCUUUGUGAACACUAGCUUCCAUCAAGAAUAGUCUUAGGCAUUUUGUAAAUGAGAAAAUUGCAUCAUUUAGCUUAAAAGUAUAAUUUUAAAGCUAAGUUAGUUACAUCAGUAACAGAGUUCUUACUAUAAUUAUAAUUUAAUUUAUUUUGGUUUAGCUUAGGUUGACAAGGAAUGAGUUUGAGUUCAGUGUAAUAACCCAUUCUUAUGAAGAGGAGCAUCUCUGCUGGAGUUGGCACCCAGCUGAGUAGAUGGAUAUAAAAUCACAGCUUUAGUUAAACCAGUGCAAUUCUUAUAUGUAUAUGAGAGGCCUUAGUCUUGUUCUCAUCCAUCUUUGACACUCGUUAAAGCCCCUGCUGAUAGGUAAUACGACCUGAAGUAGCAGGUCGGUUUGUCAUUGUGGUGGCAAGUCAGGAUCCUAUUUAAUGAGUAGGAUUUGGGUGUUCAUACUUGGACUAUGCAUUACUGGGGAGACACGCUUUUUUCUUGGCUACCAGUGGUUAUGUGUGUCUGGGGGCAUCUGCAGGACAGAACCCUUUAACACAUCCCCAUGCUCCUUAAAGGAGUCGUUCCCCUUUAGCUUUCUCAUAUUACUUAAGAGAAUGAGAGGAGGGCAAAAGGAGACCAAAUAUCAACACAGCAGUGGAAUAAAUCUUGGGUUUCUAGUCACUAGCUGAUUAUGUAUCCUCUCAGUAAACCUCCCAUUCAGAGCCUGCAGUUUAAUUCAAUAUGACUUACUACAUUUUGACCUUAAUCACUAAACUGUUAUGGUAAUGAAAAUGUUCAAGCCCUCUCAGGAAAGCUGCAUUUCUUAUGUCUUUCAAAUCCAUAGCACAGCUCUCCUGUAGGUCUUUCAUACCCUAUUUUUAUCUUUAGAAGUGACCAAUUGCUUCUAAUAGAAAGCACAUCAGCAGAAGUUGAGUAAGGGAAGAUGUACCCUGUCUUUUUUUCAAACAAGCACUGAAAAAUGUGCAAACCUGAAACCUUAUAUGCCUGUAGACUAUUAACUGGUUUAAAAUAAAUCACACCCCAAUUCAUUCUACUGUAAUGAUUCAGCAGAAGGAACUGGAUCCGUAACCAUGGUGUCCACUAGGAAGAAAUAUGUAAGUCUCUAAAGAAGAGGUGAUUCACACCUUUUCCAUGUUUUGAACAUGGCUGGUGCUUUGCAAAUGUAGCUUUAGUUCUUGCUGUAGUAGCAGCCCGUGUCUGAAGCUUUUGUUGUCAUGAAUGAGGAGAGUAAUGACAACUUGAAUGUGUGCAAGGGGGAAACACCGGAAGGCGUGCAGACAGUGACUGUACAUACCACUGAGCCGUGCCUCAUCCCAGAACCACCCCUUUGGUCCCAUUAUUUGAGUCAGCACGUUUUGAUAGGAGCUGUUGUUUUGAAAUCUUUCCUCUUGCUUUUUCUUCAUCACCCCUAAUUACUCACUUAAGGAAUUUAAUGUCGCCUGUAAAAGCAUCAGAGCCAUCAGCCUAAUAUCAUCACGCCACCACCACCACUCCUGACUAUCUCAUUAACUUAUAUGGUCAAAUUCCAGCUGCCAUGGUUCCCUGCUGUAAAACAAUCCCUCCUCUGUGAGAAGCUGUGGAAUUUCCCUUAUCGAUGGUUCAAAUGACUCCUGCUUGUAAACCUCUUACUGAGAUGUUCCUUGAUAGCAUCUCUGGUGCAAACAGGGGGAGGGGAUGCGAAUGAGGAGUGGUCACUUUGGGCUGUCGUUUCAAUUCCCUUGGUUUACUGCAUUGCCCACACAUCAUAGGAAAGUACUGGUUCUUCUGCAUCUGAAACUCAGCCUGUGGCUGCAUGUCUAGAGUUGAAAGUGCCCCAGCCAAAGGCACAGUGCUGUCAUGGCAGCAUGUGCAGGAUCCAUGCGUCAGCAGCUAGGUGAAUCUCACUGUUUACACAUCUCCCAGCCUCUUCCCUGGAAGGAUUUGUCAAGCCUGGCUAGUUUUCGUGCUGGCCAUGUGGUCUUUUAUCUCCCAGACACACACCUGCUGUUCUUCCCAUCUGCAUUGUUGGGCCUUUGCAAUUUUUCUCGUUAACCGAUGUUAUCUUCUAGAUCUUCCAGGCUUCCCAUCUUAAACAUUGAUCUUAGACCUCAAUAAAGUGCUUUCAGGGAGAGAGCCUAUCUCAUUUAGGAACAGACUUGAUCCGACUUGAUCUCCAUUGAACUAUUUCAGAUCAUCUUUCUGAUCCUGUGUCAACAGAGAUCUUGUGAUGGUGAAUAGCUUAAGGAACUAGGUGAUUCGGGAGUUACUGCUGGCUGUGGUUUAAUGCUGAACAUGGCCAGUGAAAGCUUUUUUCACUUAUAUGGAGUUCCACACCAUUGGCCUUAGGGCAGUGAAGGGAUUUUGUUACCAUAACCCACCACAGAAUUGCAUAUCAGGCACAUGGCAGAAGGGCCAUAUGUAUGCACAUACUGCAAUGCUCAUCCAGUUGCCUAACCCACCACUCUCUUAAAGUCUGAUACCCAAGUGUCAGCAGCCAGGCAGAAACAGAGAGUUUCCUAGCACAGCAGUCCUGCAACACAGCAGCUCUAGGAAAUCAGGGGCCCUUCCCAGGGAGCCUGGGGCAACUUGCUUUUUCUUCUCCUGUCAAAUGAAGUUCCGUUUGCUGCUGGAGCUGUGAAAGUUUUAAUUGCUUUAAUGUGUUUUUUUUCCUUUCAAGCUGUCAUUUGUAGAGAAACUGAGAGAUGUAAGGACUUAAGGAGCUGUCUGUAGAAAAUGAAAUAGGUUAUUUUAGCUGGGCUUGGGCUAAAAAAUAACUCAAGCCUGAAGCCCACGUACAGUAUAAAUGUUGACACCCCAACCAUGCUUCUUCAUGACAUCCCUGAGUCCAAGUACAUAUUUUCCUCUGAAUCCAGCCUCAUGUAAAACACUAAAAGGACAUUACAACACUAGAAUUGCAGGGUGAGGACAUGAACACUGUUUGUGAUUGGAAGAAGAAUUGCCUGGCGUGCUCCCAAAGGAAGCUCUAAGCUUCUAGUAUUUGCUCUCAUUUUGACUGCCUUUAACCAGCUUUCCCUUUAGAAAAUGCCAAACACUCUUUGGAGUAUCUGAUUUUUGCCAAGUCCAGGGGACAGAAGGUGAAGGUCUGAUGUGAUGCAUAAAACUGUGUGCACCGUUUCUGGUUGCACAGCUGGAAUAUCCCUUCUCUUGCAAAUUUUCUGGUACUUUGGGGCUGUAGGUAUUUUGCACAAGGGAGCAUUAAUGUCAUAAAUCUUGUAGACAUAACCCUGUUUUCUUGAACCAAAGGGGCACCUCUUUUCGUUUGCCCUGUAGUUCCCACCCAUUCUGCUGCUAGUGCUCAAUUUGUUGGGGAAUUUCUACAUCUGAUAAAAGUUGACAGGGUUGAGUCUCCAUUCCUGUCCUAAUUGCCAAUCAUUGCUGCUGAAGGGUCUUUACAAAGGAUGUAGAGAGUCACACACUGAUACCAUUUUAAAGCAAGAAUUUCACUACAUAAGUAGUGCACGUAUUCCUCAAAUGACUCCACUGAAAUGCAAAAGGGAAAUAGUACAAUCAAGGCAUCUGAUAUUUGAAGAAAGCCUCUACUCAGCUCAACACCUGCACUGAAAGGGGGAACCGGAGAGGACGCAGAAGGCUAUGGAUAACUAACACUGCCCCAGCGAAGCCGGCGGGGUGGGAGGGUCAGGCUCAGGGCAUCGGGGAGCAUCAUGCCUGGCAAGGCCAACUUUGCUAACCUCUCUUGUCAUCAUGGUGAGGAAAAGGAGUGUCAGGGGGUUUUUCUAAACAAUAUAAUGUUUUUAAUUGUUUUUUCCACACAAAUGGAAGGAAACUUACGCAACAGCAGAUCCUUCUGAACAAAAUGGCUGUGUCCACUGACUGUUUUUAAAAAAACAAGAAAAACUGUUUCAAAACUUUUUAGUGUCAAAAGCAUAAACACCGAAAUCCUGACUUUUUCCAGUGUGUGUGGUGAGUGCUGUAACCCUGUCAUCAGUAUCUCUCCUGACUUUUUCAGGGGUGUUUUUUCCUGUUUUGUUUUCUGCUUGUCGAUAUUGUCUGUGUGGUCCUAAGGCUGGGGCAGUUACCAACAAUGUGUGUCUGUUGUCGGAUUAAAAAAAAGAUAGUAGUAGAACUGAAAAAGAUGUGUUUUAAAAAAUAUAUAAAAAUAAAUUUCAUCAAAAGGAAUUCAAGUAAAGAAGCAACAAAGCCAUGACUCCUCCUUUUGGGAUUGUACGGAAAAGGAUUCGUGGGCUUAUAACCAUAACCAGUUGCCUUUCACAGGCUUUUGAGGUCCAAGGCAGCUUGGCCUCUUAGGAAAUGUUACAAACCCUGUAUAAAUUCAUGCUCUCCCAGGUUUAUACUGUACACGUGUAAUGCAGAUGAAAUAGUAUUUUUGAAAUCAGUCUUUUCUGGUAACGGUUAUCAACACCCGGGGUCCCUUAAGAUAGGAAGCACCGAUGUAAAUGGGACAAAUGCUUUGGCCAAAUUUUCCCUGUCUUCUCAAUCGUGCCCAUGGAUCCCAGUGACAUGUGCCAGUGCAUAUAGUUGUGUGUGCAGGUAGUCGCGUGUAGGUCCAUUAUUAAAGUUGUAUUUCUUUGCAUCUGGUAUUGGUCACAUAGCCACAGCAGGUUAUGGUACAGGAAAGGACUAGCAGCCACCUUCUGCUGCAGUUGCAUAAAAGGAACAACAUGAGGCUAAACCAGCAGGUAACAUAGACAAAAAACCCCACACAAAUCGCUUUACCUAUGACAGUAGGUAAAGGAUUUCAUUAAAUGAAUGUAUUUUUUAUAUCAAUGUAUUGUAUGCUGUUUGUCCCCAUUUUGCACUUCUACUUUGGAUCUUGAAAAUCAAGUUAAUCCCUUUUGCUUUUAAGUAGAUAUUUCCACUUCAGGUUCUCAGUGCUUUGCUGGGGUUUUUUGUUCAAAACAUUGUUUUUUCCAUUUGGAAACUGGCAAAAGAUGGAUCUAUCACUCAUGUACUCUUAUUAUGUGGUUAUCUAAAAGCCAGAUUUUAUGAGGAGACAUUGUUCCUUUAACCUAGCCCAUCUUCCCAGCUCUCUGGGGACAUGGCCAAGUCUCUGUCAUCCCUGCCUGCCCAGGGGCAGCUGCAUUUGGCCCUUACUGACACACUCGUUACAGUAUAUCUGGGGUGCUUUAGUGGCAGAUGCCUUUAUCUGUUCAGAUGCUGAAGGAGGAUGAAUCAGAUGGGACCAUGAACAGGGGAAUAAUUUCUGUGCUAGCCCAACAUGCUGCUCCAAGCCUACUAUCACAGUAUGUUGCUGUUUCCCUCCAAGUCAGUGAAUGGGGAGAGCCGCACACCAGGCUCACAAAUGGUUUGUGGGGUUAAAAAUCUGUGGGAUGCUCUGUCCACUCCACAGACAUGGAUCCCUCAUUUGCUUUGGAAGAGACAUGUUGCACUUUAGUGGAGGGGGAGACAGGCUUUGGGGAUGCGAUCUAGCGUACUUGAAUUCCUUUUGGAAAUAACAGCAGCGGGAGACAUUGAUGUCUGUGAUGCAAGUGCGCACGCUGCCUUCAACUUGUAUGUGUUUUAUUGCUGGAGUCAUGUUACUGACAGGAUAAUGAAAUUGCAAAGAAAAUGUGUUAUAUUCAACUUUGCCUUGAUAAUAUAAACACUUUGUUCAUUUUUUUUUUCUUCUUUUUUUAUUCACAGACUAAGUUCAUCAGGAAAUUAUAAAAUUAUUUAAAAA